rnacentral:rRNA from 1 species
CCCUUAGAUGUUCUGGGCUGCACGCGUGUUACAAUCGGGAGUACAACAAGAUUGCAAAUCCUAGUGGAUGAGUGGUUCUUCGAAAUUUUCUGAAGACUGGGAUAGUUGAUUGAAAUUAUUCAACUCGAACGAGGAAUUCCUUGUAAUUGUAAUUCAUUAUAUUGUAAUGAAUACGUCCCUGCCCUUUGUACACACCGCCCGUCGCUCCUACCGAUUGAAUGGUCCGGUGAAGCCUCGGGAUUGUGGUUCUUGCCGCUUUAUUGUGGCGUGACCGCGAGAACUUGUCUAAACCUUAUCAUCUAGAGGAAGGUGAAGUCGUAACA